UCCCGGUGGCGUAAUGGAUAGCGCGUUGGAAUUCUCAUCCAAAGGUUGUGGGUUCGAAUCCACGUGGAAAA